AGUGAACGCUGGCGGUAGGCCUAAUACAUGCAAGUCGAACGGCCGCACAGUAAGCUCUCGCUCCUACGGUUGGCGACGGACGGAUGGGUGACGCAUACAUCGCAUUCUACUUUUUCGUGGGGGAUAACGGAGGGCAACUGACGCUAAUGCCGCAUACAACCUACGGGUUAAAGCAAUAGAUCUUCACAGCUUUCGCGUUUGUUUUAGCCGAUGCCGGGUUAGCUAGUUGGCUGGGUAACGGCCCACCAAGGCAACGCUGCGUAGCUGGGCUGAGAGGGUGAUCGGCCACACUGGAACUGAGACACGGUCCAGACUCCUACGGGAGGCAGCAGUAGGGAAUCUUCGGCAAUGGGCGAAAGCCUGACGGAGCCACACCGCGUGAGUGAAGAAGGUCUUCGGGUUGUAAAGCUCUGUUGUUGGGGAAGAAAAGCAGUAGAUGUAAACCCCGAUGUUCUGACGGUACCUAAAGAAAAAGCACCGGCUAACUACGUG
rnacentral:rRNA from 1 species